UACGGGGGGGGCAAGCGUUGUUCGGAAUUACUGGGCGUAAAGGGCUCGUAGGCGGCCAACUAAGUCAGACGUGAAAUCCCUCGGCUUAACCGGGGAACUGCGUCUGAUACUGGAUGGCUUGAGUUUGGGAGAGGGAUGCGGAAUUCCAGGUGUAGCGGUGAAAUGCGUAGAUAUCUGGAGGAAUACCGGUGGCGAAGGCGGCAUCCUGGACCAACACUGAGCGCUGAGGCGCGAAAGCUAGGGGAGCAAACGGG
rnacentral:rRNA from 1 species